CAGCGUGCCCGCCUGCUCCUGCUGCUCGCCCUGCUCGCCCUGUGCCUGCGCCUCGGCCAGGCCAAGGAUGAUCCUCCCAAAGAUGCUGCCCCGAGCAACGUCACGAGCAGCAUCAGCCGGAGCCCGCCCUGCGCCAGCCCCCCGCUCCUGCCCAUCGCCCUGGGGGUGCUGGCAGCGCUCCUGCUGCACCUGCGCUGAGCCGGAGGGUCCCUGGGGCCCCGAGAACACCGUCCCCGAGGUGGCAUCCCCCGGACGGCACCGCUCCCGUUCCUGCCGCCCUCCGCUGCCCUCGUGCCCCCGCUUUCGGGGAGCAAAGCAAUAAACGCGCUGGUGCCGACA